rnacentral:tRNA from 1 species
GGACUGUGGCUCAGUGGUAGUGUGCUCACCUCAUACCUGUGAGGCACUGGGUUUGAUCCUCAGCACCA